rnacentral:rRNA from 1 species
GACGAACGCUGGCGGCGUGCUUAACACAUGCAAGUCGAACGGUGAAUCGCCUUCCUUUUUGGUGGGUGUUGAUGAGUGGCGAACGGGUGAGUAACACGUGAGUAACCUGCCCCCUUCUUCUGGAUAACUGCAUGAAAGUGUGGCUAAUACGGGAUAUUCUGGGUCUGUCGCAUGAUGGGUCUGGGAAAGAUAUUGUUGCGGUGGGGGAUGGGCUCGCGGCCUAUCAGCUUGUUGGUGGGGUGAUGGCCUACCAAGGCGGUGACGGGUAGCCGGCGUGCGAGGGUGGACGGUGACACGGGGACUGGGACAGGGCCCAGGCGCCUACGGGAGGCAGCAGUGGGGAAUAUGGCACAGUGGGGGCAAGCCUGAUGCAGCGACGCCGCGUGAGGGAUGGCGGCGUUGGGGUUGGGAAGCACUUUCGCGAGUGAAGCAGGCCUUCCUCGUUUGUGGGUGGGUUGACGGUAGCUGGAUAAGAAGCGCCGGCUAACUACGUG